AGCACUGUAGCUUAGCCGGUCAAGCACCUGUCUUGUAAACAGGAGAUCCUGGGUUCAAAUCCCAGCAGUGCCU